AUUGAACGCUGGCGGCAUGCUUUACACAUGCAAGUCGAACGGUAACAGGGAGCUUGCUCCGCUGACGAGUGGCGAACGGGUGAGUAAUGCAUCGGAACGUACCCAGUCGUGGGGGAUAACGUAGCGAAAGUUACGCUAAUACCGCAUACGUCCUGAGGGAGAAAGCGGGGGACCGUAAGGCCUCGCGCGAUUGGAGCGGCCGAUGUCGGAUUAGCUAGUUGGUGGGGUAAAGGCCUACCAAGGCGACGAUCCGUAGCGGGUCUGAGAGGAUGAUCCGCCACACUGGGACUGAGACACGGCCCAGACUCCUACGGGAGGCAGCAGUGGGGAAUUUUGGACAAUGGGGGCAACCCUGAUCCAGCCAUGCCGCGUGAGUGAAGAAGGCC
rnacentral:rRNA from 1 species